GGAUGAACGCUGGCGGCGUGCCUAAUCCAUGCAAGUCGAGCGAACAGACGAGGAGCUUGCUCCUCUGACGUUAGCGGCGGACGGGUGAGUAACACGUGGAUAACCUACCUAUAAGACUGGGAUAACUUCGGGAAACCGGAGCUAAUACCGGAUAAUAUAUUGAACCGCAUGGUUCAAUAGUGAAAGACGGUUUUGCUGUCACUUAUAGAUGGAUCCGCGCCGCAUUAGCUAGUUGGUAAGGUAACGGCUUACCAAGGCAACGAUGUGUAGCCGACCUGAGAGGGUGAUCGGCCACACUGGAACUGAGACACGGUCCAGACUCCUACGGGAGGCAGCAGUAGGGAAUCUUCCGCAAUGGGCGAAAGCUUGACGGAGCAACGCCGCGUGAGUGAUGAAGGUCUUCGGAUCGUAAAACUCUGUUAUUAGGGAAGAACAAAUGUGUAAGUAACUAUGCACGUCUUGACGGUACCUAAUCAGAAAGCCACGGCUAACUACGUG
rnacentral:rRNA from 1 species